UACGGAGGGUGCAAGCGUUAUCCGGAUUCACUGGGUUAAAGGGUGCGUAGGCGGGCAGGUAAGUCCGUGGUGAAAUCUCUGAGCUUAACUCAGAAACUGCCAUGGAUACUAUUUGUCUUGAAUAUUGUGGAGGUAAGCGGAAUAUGUCAUGUAGCGGUGAAAUGCUUAGAUAUGACAUAGAACACCAAUUGCGAAGGCAGCUUACUACACAGUAAUUGACGCUGAGGCACGAAAGCGUGGGGAUCAAACAGG
rnacentral:rRNA from 1 species